rnacentral:misc_RNA from 1 species
AACGCACAUUGCACUCUAUUUCGGUAGAGUAUGCCUGUUUGAGAAUCUAUAGUAUUUAUUUUGCGUAUUUCGUUUACGAUCUACGCAAAGAUCUGAGGCCUGACUCUUGAGUCUGCCUUGAAAUCUAUAGCUGAACUGUGUUGAGAGUGUUUGACUCUUUGCAAAGCAUCAGAAACGUAUUUGAAUGAGAUUUCCAAUCUCUUAUAAUGCUUAUUACGGUGCAGCAAGGAUUAGCUCGAAAGCGCUUUGCAGUCCAUAACCACAAAAGCUGUAAAAAGCUUGAACCAUGGUCUCAAAUCAGGUAGGAAUACCCGCUGAACUUAA